GGACGCUUAGCUCAGUUGGUUAGAGCAUCUGCUUUACACGCAGAGGGUCGUAGGUUCGACUCCUACAGCGUCCACCA
rnacentral:tRNA from 1 species